ensembl:lncRNA
AGGGGCAGAAGCAGAGGGGCAGGGGGGGGGGCAGAUCUGUCGUCUGAGUUGUCUGGUGAUCCUGUGCUGUUCUCUCUGCAGACAGUCCUGUCUUGUGUAUAUAUAACAGCCAUGUGCCAAAGUGAGGUCAUAUUACAUGUGAGGUCAUAUUACAUGUGUAACAGUGAGGUCAUAUUACAUGUGUAACAGCCUGAGGUCAUAUUACAUGUGUCACAGUCUGAGGUCAUAGGUCAUAUUACAUGUGUCACAGCCUGAGGUCAUAGGUCAUAUUACAUGUGUCACAGUGAGGUCAUAUUACAUGUCCAACAGCCUGAGGUCAUAUUACAUGUGAGGUCAUAUUACAUGUGUCACAGUCUGAGGUCAUAUUACAUGUGAGGUCAUAUUACAUGUGUCACAGUCUGAGGUCAUAUUACAUGUGAGGUCAUAUUACAUGUGUGUGUCACAGCCUGAGGGCUUUAUUACUGUAAGCCAACACAGCACAAGGACAAGCAUGUGCACAAUACCAAAGGAACUAUUUUAUAUUCAAUGUUCUGUUCCUAAAUUAUUUGUCAAUUUUGUGUUUUUGUAUGUUUCAAGCGGUU